rfam:Canis lupus familiaris chromosome 17, whole genome shotgun sequence.
AUCGCUUCUUGGCCUUUUGGCUAAGAUCAAGUGUAGUAUCUACUAAGAAAACAAAGUAAUUGUUUGGAAGCAGAGCAGAGGAGAAAGAAGAUGAAGGGACUCGAGACCCGUACUCCCCUACUGUUGACCAUACAUUAGCUUCUGAUAGAUGAAUAUUC